rnacentral:lncRNA from 1 species
GGUCUUCCUAUGGGUCAACCUAACCAGCGGUUCAGUUUUUAUUUUUUAGAAAAAUUCGUGAGUGGUGCCGUGGUCGUAAACUUGGCUCUGAUACCACCUUAAUCUGUCACGCUCUGAGGUCCCGUUUUAAGAAAAAGAAAAGUUGAAGUGCCUAAUUUUCUUUUUUAAAAAAUCUUGACCCCAGGGGAUGCCAGAUCUGCCACAAAUAUAGAAAACCCAUUGUUCACAUGGACAGAGUCUCCCUUAUAUUUGCACGGCGUCACACAAGUACAAGAUACAACCACAAACAUGCACAAACCAUGUAUACAUUCACCACAUCACAAUGUCACGAUUUACAUUCAAUCAAUCGCAAGAUUAUAAUAUUUCAUUCAUAAAUCCACAUCUAUUAUUUAAAACGUUUCUCACCUGAAAACUCAUUUUUAAAUACUAGAAUUACGAAAAGCGAAAAAUCCUUUUUAAAAUCGUUUCCUACACAAAAACCUUUUCUUUUAAAAACAGGCUAUCACGAGGAGUAGAAAAUUAUUUUCAUGAUUCCAUAUGAAAACCAAAAAAAUAUAUAUAUAAUUCCAUAUGAAAACCACAAAUACUUUUAUUCAAUUUCAAACCUAUAAUAUGAAUAAAAUAAAAACCAAGUUAAGUUAAUU